GCCUGGGUGACUCAGUCGGUUAAGUGUCUGACUUCGGCUCAGGUCAUGAUCUCACAGUCCGGUCUGUGGGUUCAAGCCCCAUGUUGGGCU
rnacentral:tRNA from 1 species